GACGAACGCUGGCGGCGUGCCUAAUACAUGCAAGUUGAGCGCUGAAGGUUGGUACUUGUACCGACUGGAUGAGCAGCGAACGGGUGAGUAACGCGUGGGGAAUCUGCCUUUGAGCGGGGGACAACAUUUGGAAACGAAUGCUAAUACCGCAUAAAAACUUUAAACACAAGUUUUAAGUUUGAAAGAUGCAAUUGCAUCACUCAAAGAUGAUCCCGCGUUGUAUUAGCUAGUUGGUGAGGUAAAGGCUCACCAAGGCGAUGAUACAUAGCCGACCUGAGAGGGUGAUCGGCCACAUUGGGACUGAGACACGGCCCAAACUCCUACGGGAAGCAGCAGUAGGGAAUCUUCGGCAAUGGAGGAAAGUCUGACCGAGCAACGCCGCGUGAGUGAAGAAGGUUUUCGGGUCGUAAAACUCUGUUGGUAGAGAAGAACGUUGGUGAGAGUGGAAAGCUCAUCAAGUGACGGUAACUACCCAGAAAGGGACGGCUAACUACGUG
rnacentral:rRNA from 1 species